rnacentral:rRNA from 1 species
UACGUAGGGUGCGAGCGUUGUCCGGAAUUACUGGGCGUAAAGAGCUCGUAGGCGGUCUGUUGCGUCGGCUGUGAAAACCCGGGGCUCAACCCCGGGCCUGCAGCCGAUACGGGCAGACUAGAGUUCGGCAGGGGAGACUGGAAUUCCUGGUGUAGCGGUGAAAUGCGCAGAUAUCAGGAGGAACACCGGUGGCGAAGGCGGGUCUCUGGGCCGAUACUGACGCUGAGGAGCGAAAGCGUGGGGAGCAAACAGG